UCCUCCCUCUUUCCCCUCAGCCUCCAUUACCUGCUCUUGGCGGGGCCCUCCUUUCCCCGCGCCCGGCGGGCCGAGAGCGGGAGUGGCAAGGGGGGGGUUAGGUGUCUCAAGAAGAGAGAGAGAAAAGCAUCCAGAUUCUAUAAUUUGCGUUGGAUACUUGAUGAAACCAAUCCUGGGGAUGCUUUCCACUUAAUGCCUUCCAAAAUCCUCAGUUCCCCUGGGCUUGGCUGAGACACUCCUUCCUCCAAAUCUGAAAACUGAAACUGAAGCUACCAUGAAGUUAACACACCCAGAUUAGCUGCUAAUCCAGCAACAAGAUUACAUUUUCAAUAAUAAACGAGAAGUUACACAUUCCAAAUCCUUCAUUAGAACGCUUAACUGAGGAUGAUGGAAGAUAAAGUCCAAAAAGUAUGAGCAAACAUAGAAUCAAAAUCACAUGAAGUAUUAGUUCCGCUUUAUAAAGUCUUAGUAAGACCACACCUGGAGCACUGCAUCCAGUUUUGAUCACUACGUUACAAAAAAAGACGUUGAGACUUUGGAAAAAGUGCAAAGAAGAGCUACUGAGAUGAUUAAAGGCCUGAAGACUAAAACAUAUGAAGAACGGUUGCAGGAUUUGGGUUUUGGCUAGUCUAGAGAAAAGAAGGACUAGGGAGGGACAUGAUAGCAGUCUUCCAGUAUUUGAGGGGCUGCCACAAAGAGGAGGAGGUCAAGUUAUUCUCCAAAGUAUCAGAGGGCAGGACACAAGAAGCAAUGGAUGAAAACUAGUCAAGGAGAGAAGCAACCUGGAAUUGAGGAGAAACUUCCUAACAGUGAGGACAAUUAACCAGUGGAACAGCUUGCUUUCAAUAGUUGUGGGUGCUCCAUCACUGGAGGUUUUUAAGAAGAGACUGGACAGUCACUUGUCGGAAAUGGUAGAAGGUCUCCUGCUUGAGCAGGGGGCUGGACUAGAAGACCUCCAAGGUCCCUUCUGGCUCUAUUCUGAUUGAUUGAAGUCAGCUCAGCAUAUCAACCUCCUCUACUCAGAUGGCCUUAAUCUGGUUUGGAAUAGUGUCUGCUCAGAUUUUUUUUUCUUUAAAUUGUUGCAGUUCCUUGGCUAUUUAAUAAUUCUCAAGAAGACACACAGCCAAUUUUCAAGAACAAAUGUGAUUUUUUUUUUGUAUUGUGCAUAUAUUACUUAGAUGUUUACCAUCUUCACAUUGAAUGUUAGAUACUUCAGUGUGGUAUCUAACAUUCAAUGUACUUUGGUUCAGGAUUUAUAUAGAUCAACAAUUAUAUUGUAUCUUGAAAAUAAACUUAAUUUGCUUCAAAGGCCA